AUCAGCUGCCCUCCCAGACCCACCGUUCUAGGGUACAGCAGAACUCAAAGUGUUUGUCAACUUGGACUUCCGCCUGUCCACUAGCUUGCCUUAAGCAGAUUCUGAGGAGCUGCACUCAAGAUUGAUCCCCUAUGUUCUUUUGGUCUCAUAUUCUCUAGCCUUUCUUGUAACAGGCAUACCAGGUCAAAUGAGGGACAUCUGUCCAUUUGCAAACAAGCCAACCUCAUCCCUGAGGUCAGUGAUGAAGUGCUGAGUAACGAACUGGAAAAGCAAAUAAGUAAAGGAGUUAGGAAGGACACUUUCUUAUUCGGAGCUCACUAGAGAAUGUGAUUUUUCCUGAACAACUGCAUACUUCCUAGUAUGCCUUUUGGUAAACUACCCACGUUUCCCACAAUAUGUACCUGAUAUGGAGAGGGAAAAAAGCAAACCAUGGCGGUCUAAGCAGCUUAGAUUUGAUAAAAAUAAUAAGAGUGGUUCCUUCAGUUCAUUUUCCAAACCCUUCUGCCAGAACAAGCUGGUUCUUCUGGGAAGACGGAACUGCCUACGGCCAUAUGCACCCAUCUGUUCUUCUCUGCAAAAAUGUCUUGGCCUUUUCCACACAGAGCCAGUGGGUGGUGGGGGUGACCACUGCAGGUGGACAGGCCAGGUAAGCCUCGGUCAGAUUGCAAGAGCCCCCAUUCUAGAGAGGGUCCUGUCCCAUACCCAGAAGGAAGGAAUGCUGCACAGAGGCCAAGAAGAAUCCAGACAGACAGGCCUUGCCGGGCUUCCCCGCUCAGUCUGUUUGUUUUAGACCAUGCCUUCUUUGUCCAGUCAUAUUUCUACAAGCCUGACCAUACUUUGCUGAACCAAAGCAUGAACAUGGACAGUUUGCUCUAUAUCUUUGGGUCUUCAUCCUGAAGGAUCCUGUGUCACAUAUAAAACUAUGAUCAAAUAAAUUUGUAUGCCUUCCUCCUA
rnacentral:lncRNA from 1 species